rnacentral:rRNA from 1 species
UACGAAGGGGGCUAGCGUUGCUCGGAAUCACUGGGCGUAAAGGGAGCGUAGGCGGAUAGUUUAGUCAGAGGUGAAAGCCCAGGGCUCAACCUUGGAAUUGCCUUUGAUACUGGCUAUCUUGAGUACGGAAGAGGUAUGUGGAACUCCGAGUGUAGAGGUGAAAUUCGUAGAUAUUCGGAAGAACACCAGUGGCGAAGGCGACAUACUGGUCCGUUUACUGACGCUGAGGCUCGAAAAGCGUGGGGGAGCAAACAGGG